UACAGAGGGUGCAAGCGUUAAUCGGAAUUACUGGGCGUAAAGCGCUCGUAGGUGGUUUAAUAAGUUGGAUGUGAAAUUCCCGGGCUUAACCUGGGGUGGUCAUCCAAUACUGUUGGACUGGAGUACAGUAGAGGGAAGUGGAAUUUCCGGUGUAGCGGUGAAAUGCGUAGAUAUCGGAAGGAACACCAGUGGCGAAGGCGACUUGCUGGACUGUAACUGACGCUGAGUCACGAAAGCGUGGGGAGCAAAC
rnacentral:rRNA from 1 species